GAAAUGCGAUAAUUAAUGUGAAUUGCAGAAUUCAGUGAAUCAUCGAGUCUUUGAACGCACAUUGCGCCCCCUGGUAUUCCGGGGGGCAUGCCUGUCCGAGCGUCAUUGCUGCCCUCAAGCACGGCUUGUGUGUUGGGCUUCCGUCCCUGGCAACGGGGACGGGCCCAAAAGGCAGUGGCGGCACCAUGUCUGGUCCUCGAGCGUAUGGGGCUUUGUCACCCGCUCCCGUAGGUCCAGCUGGCAGCUAGCCUCGCAACCAAUCUUUUUAACCAGGUUGACCUCGGAACAGGUAGGGAUACCCGCUGAACUUAAGC
rnacentral:misc_RNA from 1 species